UACGUAGGGGGCAAGCGUUGUCCGGAUUUAUUGGGCGUAAAGAGCGUGUAGGCGGCCAGGUAGGUCCGUUGUGAAAACUCGAGGCUCAACCUCGAGACGUCGAUGGAAACCAUCUAGCUAGAGUCCGGAAGAGGAGAGUGGAAUUCCUGGUGGUAGCGGUGAAAUGCGCAGAUAUCAGGAAGAACACCCGUGGCGAAGGCGGCUCUCUGGUACGUGACUGACGCUGAGACGCGAAAGCGUGGGGAGCGAACAGG
rnacentral:rRNA from 1 species